UACUGAACAUGGUUGUUAUAUUUAGGUUAAGGGGGAAUUUUUGUUGUUAUAUUUCUGGCAUUUUCUGUAUUUUUAUUCGGAAUUUUCGAGUAUAAACAAUAUUAACUUAUAUAAAAGAAAACAAAUAGGCCUAAUCAGGAAAGCAUGUCCCUAAAAACAACGUAAUACAGAUUACUUCCAGGUAAACGAGAUCGGGGUCAAAAAGUGGGUCACUGUCAAAUUCAGAUAAGGGAGACUUUAGACAGUAUCAGGGUCACAUUAUGUGACUGCAUAAGCUGCCAUCAUGGUCGACUACAGUGUCAACAGCUCUGUCGCCCUCCUGCUCGUGAACAAUCCGCCUGUCAACGCCCUCAGUCAUGCUGUCAGAAAAGGUCUGGCUGAUGGGAUGUUAAAGGCAACAAAGGAUACAAAAGUCAAGGCCAUUGUCAUAGCAGGGAAGGGACGAACAUUUCCAGCUGGAGCGGACAUUAGGGAGUUCAGUGGUCCAGGAAAAGAGCCUUGGUUGGUUCCUGUGGGAAAUGGUAUUGAGGCUAGCGGUAAACCAGUGGUAGCUGCCAUCCACGGCACUUGUCUGGGAGGUGGUCUGGAGGUAGCACUAUUCUGUCACUACAGGGUGGCACUCAAGUCUGCAAGGGUUGGAUUUCCAGAAGUUGCCAUUGGGAUUUUGCCUGGUGCUGCAGGGACCCAGAGACUGCCCCGCGUUACAGGGUUACCUGUAGCCUUUGAUAUGAUAACAUCAGGGCGUCAUGUUCCAGCAGAGCAGGCCAAGAAAUAUGGAAUCAUUGACGAGAUUGUAACCGGAGAUAUCGUGAAUGCUGGCAUUAGGUAUGCCAUGAUUAUGGUCGGAAAGUCCACUAUCCCACGAAGACUACGUGCCAAACCGGUACCUGAUGCUGAAAAUGUCCAGAAAUAUGCUGAUGCUGCCAUGGCUCAUGUGAAGAGGAAGUACAAAGGAUAUGAGGCCCCAGUGUACUGUGUCAAAGCUGUGCGGGCAUCUGCAGAAAAACCGUACGACUUAGGAGUGGAAAACGAGAAAACCCUGUUCAAUGUAGUCGGAAAGUCUGGCCAAGCACGUGCUCAGCAGUAUGCCUUCUUUGCAGAGAGGGUGGUGGGCAAGUGGGAAAUGCCGGGCGGUAACUCUCAAACAGCCAAGCCAAUACCAGUGCGGUCCACAGCGGUCAUCGGUGCUGGAACUAUGGGGACUGGGAUAGCUGUGUGUAUCCUUAGUGCAGGCCUUCCAUGUUAUCUAGUGGAACAGAACCAGAAGUUUUUGGAAAAUGGGCUGAAAACUAUUAAGGCCUUAAUGGAGGGCAGUGUCAAACUGGGAAAAAUUUCACCUGAGGUUGGACAGCGAGCGGCAUCUCUCCUUAAACCGACCAUGAGCUAUGACGACCUCACCGGUGUCGACCUGGUGAUUGAGGCUGUCUAUGAAAACCUGGAAUUGAAAAAAGAAAUUUUUGCUAAGUUGGACAAAGUUUGCAAACCAAGCACCAUUUUGUGUUCAAACACCUCCAGUAUAGACAUUGAUAGGAUUGCCGUAGCAACCAAGCGACCAGAGAAGUGUGUUGGUGUCCAUUUCUUUGCCCCGGCCUAUCACAUGAAACUGCUGGAGAAUAUUUACAGCACAAAAACGUCACCAGACACGGCUGCUACAGUGAUGAAACUCGGCAAGACAAUCGGGAAGGUCCCAAUACUUGUAAAAUCCUGCCAAGGUUUCCUAGCGAACAGAAUGAACACACCGUAUGGUACAGAAUCAGGAUUCCUGGUGGAGGAGGGUGCCCUACCCUGGGAGGUAGACCAGGUGAUGGAGGACUUUGGGAUGCCUAUGGGACCCUUCAAAGUCCGAGAUUUGUCAGGAUUGGACGUGGGUUCAAAAAUAACUGCAGAGAUUGCCAAGACACUAGGCGUCACUCUGACAGAUGAGACCCGCUUCAUGGCUGGUAAUCGCUACAGUCACAUGAACACUGUCCUAGCCAACAUGGGCAGACUUGGUAGGAAGUCUGGUAAAGGUUGGUACAAGUAUGAGAAGGCAGGAGGGAAGAUCGCCUCAAUCGAUGAUGAUGUGAUUACUGUAUUAAACAAUCACUGCAAAAAACUGGGGAUAGAACGACGCACUAUCUCCUCUCAGGAGAUCAUUGAGAGGUUGAUGUAUUCCUGUAUUAACGAGGGUUUCAAAAUACUGGAGGAGGGCAUUGCUAAACGGCCAGAGGAGAUUGAUAUCUCUUGGUUGUAUGGCUUCACCUUCCCCAAGUAUCUGGGAGGUCCAAUGUACUAUGCCAAUCAGGUGGGGCUGGGUCGCGUCUACGACAGAAUCUGCUAUUAUCAUGAAAACUUCCCAUUCAGCAAGCACUGGGUACCCAGCCAGCUGUUAAGGAGACUUAGUGAACAAAACAUUCCGAUGUCACAGUGGAUGGCAAGUCCAGGUGCACGACUCUAGACUAUUGAAGGUCAAGGGCCAAACACUGCAUGUAGGUCACAGGAGGUCAAGGGCUAAACUCUAGGUCACAGGAGGUCAAGUGUUAAACGCUAGCUCACAGGAGGUCAAGGGCUAAACACUAGGUCACAGGAGGUCAAGGGCUAAACUCUUGGUCACAGGAGGUCAAGGGCUAAACUCUAGGUCACAGGAGGUCAGGGCUGCAAUUUAUGUGUGCUGUGACAUGACAUUGUAUCUACGUCGAUCCCAGAAAUUGUUUCUGGACAAGACGAGUAAUGAAGUUAUUAGUGCUGGUAGACAAAACGUGAUCAAAUCUGAUCGAACUUACUGACCUUGUCACACUUAUUUUCUAUUUAAUCAGUUUACAUUGUCAAUUAUUGACCGAUGAUUACCUCAGCUUUGUUUACCAAUCAAUAAUGACAAAAUCCUACACAAUAGUAUUACAUAGAUUUCCUCUUUCUAGAUGUCACUUGACUGAGAUAACAACCAAUUAAAAUAUAAUUAGUCACUUGUUAGUAUAUUCAGAGAAGUUUUCAGCUACUGAACUCAAUCACUGUAAUUGCAAAGAUCUUUUUGAAUACCUAUCUGUUUUACUUGAGUUUGCUUACAGGCCAAAUAUAAGGUCAUGUUCAUGUUAAGAGCCAAAAUUUGAAGCCCGAUUCCAAAUAUGCAUAAUCAGUUUUAACUCAUUCACCCCUGAAAUUCCAUAAUGAACUAUUCCAACCUUUGAAUUUGGAAGGGUUCAAAUGUAUCUUCAGGGGUCAAUGAGUUAAACAAUAUACUUAUAAAGUGUAAUGAUUUAAUGCUGUGCUGAUAGUAUCUAUUUUGCAAUGUCAGCAAGGAUUAUAGGGUUGUUAUUGCUAACAGAUGUUGUACUAGUGGUUAGUGUUGUUUGUAUCGUUAAUGAUAUUACAGGUGAAUGGCCUUAUUAAAGGUGCAUAGUUAUUAUUUAUACAGAGUAUAUCUAAUUGGAUACAAUCGGACAAUCAUGAUGAGUGCUAUAUCCUUAUUGAUAAUAUGACUGCCGACUGAAGUUCAUAGGGCAAUGUUUAGAACAACACAAUGUUUGUUGUCAUGUAUCAUUGCAAAAUUUGUUACAUUAUAUCCGGUUAUUUUAUAAGAUGUAAUUGUUAAAACUGUGAUUUAAUCAAUAUAUGGAUGCGACUCUACAUAUUUUGAAUACAAGAUAUACAUUGAUAUGCAAAAUGUAAAGGGUAUACAUGAAACAUUGCUGAAAAUUAGUCAGAAAGUCAUAUGUUUGAAUGAAUUUAAUUGACUGUGUUGAAUCAUAAAUUUGUGUAUUUUUCAAUUAAAUUGAAAUAAAAACAAAUGAUUUCAUUUUCAUUUUGGCAUUAAUAAAGCCAUAUCAUGGUCCACAAAAAUGUCUAUAGAAACAUAUUUAUGUACGACCUCAGAUUACAGUUGUAACAGAUAUAUGUACGGCCUCAGAUUACAGGUGUAAUUUUAUAACAGGUCCAUGUACGACCUCAGAUAACAGGUGUAACAGAUUUAUGUAUGACCUCAGAUUACAGGUG
rnacentral:misc_RNA from 1 species